rnacentral:rRNA from 1 species
CCGCAAGGUUGAAACUCAAAGGAAUUGACGGGGACCCGCACAAGCGGUGGAUGAUGUGGUUUAAUUCGAUGCAACGCGAAAAACCUUACCUACCCUUGACAUGUCAGAAACCUUGAAGAGAUUUGAGGGUGCUCGAAAGAGAAUCUGAACACAGGUGCUGCAUGGCCGUCGUCAGCUCGUGUCGUGAGAUGUUGGGUUAAGUCCCGCAACGAGCGCAACCCUUGUCAUUAGUUGCUACGAAAGGGCACUCUAAUGAGACUGCCGGUGACAAACCGGAGGAAGGUGGGGAUGACGUCAGGUCAUCAUGGCCCUUAUGGGUAGGGCUACACACGUCAUACAAUGGCCGGGACAGAGGGCUGCCAACCCGCGAGGGGGAGCCAAUCCCAGAAACCCGGUCGUAGUCCGGAUCGCAGUCUGCAACUCGACUGCGUGAAGUCGGAAUCGCUAGUAAUCGCGGAUCAGCUUGCCGCGGUGAAUACGUUCCCGGGUCUUGUACACACCGCCCGUCACACCAUGGGAGCGGGUUCUGCCAGAAGUAGUUAGCCUAACCGCAAGGAGGGCGAUUACCACGGCAGGGUUCGUGACUGGGGUGAAGUCGUAACAAGGUAGCCGUAUCGGAAGGUGCGGCUGGAUCACCUC